GACAGAGGGUGCAAACGUUGUUCGGAAUUACUGGGCGUAAAGCGCGUGUAGGCGGCAUGGCAAGUCGGGUGUGAAAGCCCACGGCUCAACCGUGGAAGAGCACUCGAAACUGCUGAGCUGGAGUCCUGGAGAGGAAGGCGGAAUACUCGGUGUAGAGGUGAAAUUCGUAGAUAUCGAGUGGAACACCGGUGGCGAAGGCGGCCUUCUGGACAGUGACUGACGCUGAGACGCGAAAGCGUGGGGAGCAAACAGG
rnacentral:misc_RNA from 1 species